NNCCAUCUGACGAGUCCCAAAUAGGACGAAACGCGCGUCCUGGAU
rnacentral:hammerhead_ribozyme from 1 species